CGAUGCGGCAUCCUCCUUGCAGCGGCUGCCCCCGCGGUGCGGAGCAGCGGGCGGCCGCCCCUCAGCACCCCAGAGGCCGGGCACUAGUGUGCUGGGUGCUCGCUGUGCUGCGGGUUUCAAAAGGCAAAAAUAAAGCAUUGAUACACGUUGAAGAUCAGUGCAGGAGGGUUAGACAACUUAAGGCCUUGGAAGCUACAGCGAAAAACACACAUCUCCUGUUGCAUCCAAUACAUACAGUCCCAGGGUGGGCUGGAGCUGCGUCUGCAUCCCCGCUUCAGCGCUGCCAUUGUCCGUGCCCAGCAGUUAGUGAACUCCUGUGGCCAGGGCCAGAAACACCCGAGCGAGGCUGCAGGAAGGGCAGCCCUGGCCAGCAGCUGCCUCCUCCGAUGAACUGCACGAUAUUGCCAUGUAACCAGACCCGUAAGUGGGAUUGGUGGGUUCACCAGUGUUGUCAAAUCAUGAGGAUUUUACGUAGGAGGGAAUGCUGUGCACCAACGGAAUUGGGUCAUUUUACAUGAGAAGAGAAUGGAUUUUUAGGCUUUCCUUCAGCCCUUUCUAAAACUAGGGGUUACAGUUUUGCUAGGCCUCUACCAGCCAGACUUCUAAACUUAGACAUGGUCCUAAUGUAAGCCAAAAGCACAGUGACCUUAACAUACUCUAAGCAUGGACAGAGUCUGCUAUAAUACAGAUUUCUAACACAGCACACAACCCUGCAGCAUGAUCUGGAGCUCAGCAUUUUUUUUUGCUUGAUUUUUCUUUACCACUAAACUUUGCUCUGACUCUGGUCUAAAAUUUAUUCUGUGGGCCUCUGCUUGCUCCAAACCAAGAUGUAACUAGUUGCCUUAGCAAGUCUUCUGAAAUAGGCUCACAGUCAGCUGACUGCCAAAUCCUAAAUCUAACUUGAUGACCUCUAUGUUCAUUAAACCAGAAAUGUAUCCUGGUGACUUACAGUGACAGCAAUGAUCACUUUAUUCUGGCAUCCCUUUCUGAAUGUCUGCCUUAGUCUGACUCAUCACUUUCAUCACAGCACAGAUACUAAUCCUACAUGUAACCCUAGUGUUAAUUCUACCCAUUUAAAACCCGAAUGUAAUCCAGGUGGCUCUUGUCAGUACUAGAAGUAAUCUGUUGCAGAAGUAAAGGUCAUAUGCUUGUUCUUGUUUUGUAUCACGACCACCUUACUUCAUUUAAAGUGAUUUAUAAUUAUAUGGAAAAAGUGCACCAGAUAAAUGCUUUCAAAUGAAGACUGAGAUUCACUUUUGCCUUUCUGGUUUGCUGAAUCUGUAUGAAUGCACAGUGAAGUGGGAUAGUCAUAACCUUUGGGAAGAUCAGAGGCAUGAGCUAUGUAGUGACUGAUGUUAAACCAUUUACAACUUUGACUGCAGUCUGUUUUCUAGACUGUAUCAGUAUCUGGAUCCAUGUUCUGUGAGUUACAAAAAUUCAUAGGAAACCUUUGCACUAAGAGUUUACUGUUUAAUUUAAAACAGAAUAUGACAAUGAAAGUAAGAUAAAUGGUAGAACCAAAAGGGAAGACGAGGGCAAUAGAACUGAAUUAAGAAGAGCAAGGAAGAAAGUAAAAUGUUAAAUCAUUUGGGAACGCAGGUUUGUUAUUGCAUAGAAUCAUUGCUUUGAAUGAUGAUCAGAAAGUUUUAUCUUCUCCCCACACAGAUAUGGUUAAUUUCUUAUAAACAUAACACAGGACUUCAGAAAGGAAAAGUCAAGAAGGAUUAAUCUAAGAAGAGUUUGGAUUAUAGACCAUUUUAUAAAUCGAGUGAAAGUCUGUUUUUGACUGUGGACAUUUCAAUAAAAAAUGCAAAAAGCAAAUGUGAUUUGGAAUACUAGAGAUCAUUAAUCAGCAGGCCUUUCACAACAGCAAUGAUACAGUGGUCCUCUCUAAAGCAGAUGAGAAAGGCAUGCCAGCCACAAGUGAGAUAAACAGGCAGAAACAGGCAAUAUCAAACAAAGUCUUACAGCAACAUUAGUGGCUUAUGGCUUCAGAGUAGAUGACAGUGUUUGAUGAUUUGGAAAGAAAUUCAAAUGCAGAAGAUAGAGCGAAAAAAGAUGUGAGAAGGAACAGCAUAUACUUCCUGAACAUACAUCUUAAUCGUACAUUUCCUACCUCCAUUAAUUAAUUUUACAUUUUGCAAGUGACGUUAACUCAUUCUAUGGAUAGAACAGGAUGGAAAAGCAAUACCUAAUUUAAAAAAGGAUAUUAAUUUUAGAAGAAGAGCUUUGGCUCCUGUUCAAAAAAAUCCAUGUGAGUUCAGGACAGACUCAAGUAAAUGCUUUUCCUAUGAUGCAAACUUGAAUCACGUUGAAACCAGUGGGACUUAAGAACAUACUUAAUGCUAAGAACAUACUAAGAGGCUUUCUGGGAUGGACUGAACAGAUUGCCUAAAUGAGUGAGGAUCUUAGAGUAGGAGCUUUGUCUACAGACUAUAGUGAGACAUGAGUUACGGGAACAUAGAACUGGAAGGAACAACCUUAACCAUGGAGUCUCCUGAGAUCAUGGGAAACCAUGCAGCAGAUGCCAAAUUUAGGAAUUGCCUGUACUUCAUACAUAGUGCCAGUGGUGGCCUACAAAGGUCUAGGAAGUACUACUUUCUAGUACUCCAUAAUAAACUUCAGAUCUCUUUUAGAAGAACAAAAGCCAAAUGACGUGUCACAAGAAGAGAGAAGGGGACAUCAAGAGCGCUGUUCAUGACCUAGACCUCUACACAAACAAACUAUUUUAAUCUUCUAGAUGAUACUAAGAAGCAGAUAAAUCCUACAGUACAGAAGAAGGUGAAAAGCAGCAGCUAAUCACACAUGGAAAAAAUAAUUCUCUCCUCCUGACCCCAAAUCUGGAACCUGGAUUACAGUUUGGCUUGUCUGGGAUUUCUCCAAUUGAUGCCAGCAUCAGAGGCUGGAGAUGCUGGAUGUGAACAGUCCUGUGAACUCCAAUCCAUUUUGCUACUUCUCUUCCAUCUCUCAUGCGUAAUCAAAGGAAAUAAUCCUUUAUCAGCAGACAUGGAAGUGCCUAGACAGCCAUUACAUCUCUAAAACAUGACAAAGAGCACAACAUCAAGGAGUGCUAUCGUGCUGCUGUGUUUUGAAGAAUGAUGUGCUGCAACAAAUGUUUAUUUUUCCUGACUGAUGUGAAAGAUGUAAAAGAAAGCUGUUUUUAAAGAUCAUAUUGGGGAAUUGAUCUCAGGAAGAAAGAUUAUCCUUGAAAUAACCUUUCCUAUGUCUGAAAGAAUACAGUUUCAGAAGUAACUAUAGAUGUGUUUGAAUGGGAAGAGAUUCUCAGAAUGAGGUGUGAUUAUUCCUCAGCACAGAUGUUCUCACCAGUGCCUGUUCACUGUGCAAUGAACCUUUCGAGAGAUGCAAUUAGAAUUGCUUAGUACUGUUGGGAGCUCUGAGCAUUAGAGACCUAGGACUGGAUCUGCAACAGAGUUCAAGAUGCACUUCCCUCAGCAGGGAGUAUAGGAGUGUGAUGGCUUUGUUCAGGUUUGAAAUCAAGGAACCAAAAGGGUGUUCGAGCACCAACUUGUCCCCAUGUAAUUUACAGCAACUUUAAGGCAAUCUCUGUGGAGAUCAAGGGCAUUUCUGGUACUCUGUGCUAGUACAGUAGUUCUGUCACUUUUAACUAGUGCUGCUUUACAGAGCCAGCUCUGCGUGUAGGCAAAACUCAGUUUUGCUGACCCCAGGAAGAGGACAAAUUAACGACACAAUUCAACUUUGCAUUGGCAGCGCAGUGGCUUAUAUACCAGGAUUGAGGUACCAACUCAAAUAAGCACUUUGCCCUCCCCAAAAUAGUCUUGUUUUCUGUGUGCCUGGCUCUAUUCUACCUCCUUGGCCUUCCCCUUGUCAACACUAAGGAUCUUGCAAAAGAGUGAGAUCCUGCCAGCUGGUGGGAGGGGAAAUGAAAAGGAGAAUGAUCAAUCAUCCUGUUCCCUUACAAAAUAUUUCCUUUUUCUGCUGUGGAGCAGAGAGUAGCAGAACUACUCUCUGCACAGCCUCUCACUGUGCUGGGGUGCAGCCUGAUGCAGGUAGAUACCAUAGCUGCCCAUGCUUCACCUCAUCAGGAUUAGAGAGGCUGGCAUCAGAAAAAACUCCUCCUUCACUGAAUUAGUGUUAGGUAGGCACAUAACCAUUACUGAUUGCUGCUGUGAGACUUGCUACUGCACUUAAUGUGGCUUCAUCAGUUGAGCAUCAGCCUUUGGCUGUGCCUCAGUCCUCUGCUCCCAUGCUGUGAAAUGGACAGGUAUAUGGCUUCUAGCUGUAAUGUCAUCCAUAUUCUCCCUGUAUUGUAGGAGUCCUUAGGGACAAGAUGUAUCAGAUAUUCAGCCUGUUUGCACCACUGCAAUAUCACAAAACACAUGGAAACUGCUUUGUGCCUGCUUUUUUAGGUUAGAAAAGCUUGAUGUAAAUGCCUAUUUGCAGUUAUUGAUACAAGGUACUUCUCCUUUCUGGGUGAAGGCAGUCAUAAUGUUCCUAUUUUUAAAAUAUGAUACUUAAAUUAUGAUAUAGUUAAUUGGUAAGUUCCUUGAUAAGCAGAAAGGAAUCUGCGUAGGGGAAGAUCCUAAAGAAAAUAAUUAUACAUCAUUCAGUUAGAACUGAAAUGGAAGACCAAACUAUGAGAUCAGAACAUAGAGAUAAUGAUUUAUAAUGCGUGAAUCAAUGAAGAAGGGUAAGCAAUGGUAAGGCACAGACAUUCAUAAAAGGAUAAUAAGGCAUAGAUCUAGAUGAUUAUGAUUAAAGAGGAUGAAACUUCACCUGUUACAAUCUGUCCAAAGGCUCAGGAAGUAUAGUGCCCCCAUCACCUGCUUUUGAUCAUGUCACUCCUGUUGUUCCCUUUUCCCUUUUCUGUCAGCAUGGUUCAUGGUCUCACCUUUCCCAGGGCUUUGUCUUUAAAGCGUAGGAGGCUGUGCACUUCACCUCUGAAUUUCUCUUUAGUCCCUGACAUCUCUGUAAGAAUCAUUACUUCCCCUCUUGGAAGGAGACAGGAACCUUGAGCUCAUAUUCUAGUCUAGCCUGUGGACUUUGUAGAGAGCAGAAAGAACUGUUCUUUUCUAUCACUUUUGACUUCUUUGAGUGGUUUCACACAAUGGCUGUUUAUCAGGUGUCAUCCCCUCUUCCACCAACUGCUGCCUCCCAGCAUUGUCCUGGGUCCUCUGUUCCAACUCUCUUUCAUGCCAUUUGAAUAGUUGAGAAGAUACUACAGAUUUUUAAAGUUUCACUCAAAUGUUUUAUUAAUUGAGAACUACAGAUGUGAAUUAACUAAAACUGUUCAUGAGUCUGAGACAUUAUCUAUCAGUACUUUAACAGCUUAUAAAAAGGUGGAAUAGUGUGAAAGUUUUGACAUCUUUUAAAGAAUGGUUUGAUUUAUCAUUUCAAAAUAACAGCCCAAAUAAAUAAAAUAAAUUACCUUCUGGAAUGAGAUUGCUUCAUCCUGGGCUCAAUAAAAAAUUCAUU